GUGGGAAAAUUUUCUAAAUUCCCGCUUUAUUUUUCAUUUCUUUCUCAACACAAUUUAGAGAAAAGAAACCCUAUUUUCUCAAACCCCUUUCAUCUUUAUCUCACCCUUUCUGAAAACCUUCUCCCAAAAAUAAUCUUCAGCCACAACCUCUCUCAACCUCUCACACUCUUACAUUCAGUGUCUCUCACCCUCUGCUGCUCUUACACCUCUCUAACGUUUUCGUCAUCUGAGUAUUUCCCGGAUAAGGAUUUCAAGGGGGAAUCUUUCUUUUCCAUGCAUAGUGAGGACACAGAUGAAAGAGCUCCAUGUUACAUUAAGACCCUGGUACUACCAAAAGGCAUAGAUUGUAAAUAUAAACAUUGUGUGAUUGUUAGGCUUAACUUGUGAAUAUAGACACCAAAGGGAUUUGAAGGAUCUUUUGCAGAAGUUUCAUCCUCAGCUAAGAUUGGUACAACAAAGAAUGAUGUUGGCGCCUAUCGAAGUGCUUGUGGCGGUCAUGAAGUUCGUUGCUCUGCUUCUUACGGUUGGAGUUGGGUAUUUUUACUAUGAGUUAUAAAUGUAAAUUUGCAUAGAUCUGAGUGUCUACAUUUGUGUUAUAUAUAUAUAUUGAAUAUUGUAAAAUUGUAUAGAUUUAAGAUUGAUUUUUCAAAGAUCUAAAUAUUGUAAAUUUAUUGAUAUAUAUAUUGGUGAUGUUAAGUGUAUUUUAUUUAUUUGUGACUUUAGUAAUUUUGAUAUUGGUUCUAUUU